rnacentral:rRNA from 1 species
CGGUAUUGGUUAUUUGAUAGGCCNUANUACAUGGAAAACCGUGGUAANNNUAGAGCUAAUACAUGCUAAAAACCCCGACUUCGGAAGGGGUGUAUUUAUUAGAUAAAAAACCAAUGCCCUNCGGGGCUCNUUGGUGAUUCAUAAUAACUUAACGAAUCGCAUGGCCUUGCGCCGGCGAUGGUUCAUUCAAAUUUCUGCCCUAUCAACUUUCGAUGGUAGGAUAGUGGCCUACCAUGGUUUCAACGGGUAACGGGGAAUUAGGGUUCGANUCCGGAGAGGGAGCCUGAGAAACGGCUACCACAUCCAAGGAAGGCAGCAGGCGCGCAAAUUACCCAAUCCCGACACGGGGAGGUAGUGACAAUAAAUACUGAUACAGGGCUCUUUUGGGUCUUGUAAUUGGAAUGAGUACAAUUUAAAUCCCUUAACGAGGAACAAUUGGAGGGCAAGUCUGGUGCCAGCAGCCGCGGUAAUUCCAGCUCCAAUAGCGUAUAUUAAAGUUGUUGCAGUUAAAAAGCUCGUAGUUGAACCUUGGGCCUGGCUGGCCGGUCCGCCUCACCGCGUGCACUGGUNCGGCCGGGCCUUUCNUUCUGGGGANCCNCAUGCCCUUCACUGGGCGUGUNGGGGAACCAGGACUUUUACUUUGAAAAAAUUAGAGUGUUCAAAGCAGGCCUUUGNNCGNAUACAUUAGCAUGGAAUAAUANAAUAGGACGUGCGGUNCUAUUUUGUUGGUUUCUAGGACCGCCGUAAUGAUUAAUAGGGAUAGUCGGGGGCAUCNGUAUUCAAUUGUCAGAGGUGAAAUUCUUGGAUUUAUUGAAGACUAACUACUGCGAAAGCAUUUGCCAAGGAUGUUUUCAUUAAUCAGUGAACGAAAGUUAGGGGAUCGAANACGAUCAGAUACCGUCGUAGUCUUAACCAUAAACUAUGCCGACUAGGGAUCGGNCGNUGUUAUUAUUUUGACCCGCUCGGCACCUUACGAAAAAUCAAAGNUUUUGGGUUCUGGGGGGAGUAUGGUCNCANGGCUNAAACUUAANGGAAUUGACGGAAG